GGGAGCGGAUGGGGCCUGGUGGCUCCUGCGGUCUUCAAAACCGUUUGCGUCGGCUUAACCGCCGAUGGGUGGGUUCGAUUCCUACACGCUCCC
rnacentral:tRNA from 1 species